rnacentral:misc_RNA from 1 species
UUUCCGUAGGUGAACCUGCGGAAGGAUCAUUAACACUUAUCUUUCUUUUUUUUUUUUAAAGUUUCUUUUUUCCUCAAAAAGAAAAUUUUUUUUAAAAAAAACCCUUUCCCAGUGCGGUUCUACUCUUGAAAAAAUUUUUUUUCUUGUCUGAUAGUGAAGUUAAAAGCUCCGUUCAGCUAAGAAAGGAAUUUUUUUUUUUUUUUUUUUCUCAUAUCAAACCAAAAAACUAAAAAAUUAUUUUUUUCUUUUUUUGGUUAGUUAAAUUCAAAUUUACCCAUAUCAAAAAAUUUUCAAAAAAAAAACUAAGAUAAACUUUAAAAAAAAAAAUAAGAUACAACUCUUAACAAUGGAUAUCUUGGUUCUC